AAGAGUUUAUAUUAUUAUUUCAUUCUAAUUUCUAAAUUUAAUGCACUAUUAUGCUAAAAUAAUAAACAAAUAUUUAUUAUUAAAUUCUAUAAAUUAUUUAAAAAUUAAAGUCCUUUCGUACAAUCAAUUUAUUUUUUAUUAUGGAUAGAAACCAAUCUGACUUACGUCGAUUUGAAUUCAAAUCAUGUAAGAUUUUAAAAAUCGAACAGACUUAAAUAAUUAAAUUCCUGCAUUCAAUUUUUAUCUUAAUUCAACAUCGAGGAUCGCAAUCAUCUUUAUCAAUAAGAUCUAUCAAAAGAUAUUACGCUGUUAUCCCUAAGGUAAUUUAUUCUUAUAUUUAUAAAUUAUAAAUCAUUUUAUAUCUUUUAAUCAAAAUUAAUUUUUAGACUUCG